AACUACAAUAAUUUGCAACGCUACGCUCGA
rnacentral:sRNA from 1 species